rnacentral:lncRNA from 1 species
GUUGUCUGUUCAACGUCCCAACCUAAAGAGAAAUAAAAAGACUAAGUUUUCGUUAUUAUAAACCCGCGUCACGUGAUGUCUCCUCAAUCAUGCGCGCGCUGUACCUAAAAUAAAAUAAAAACUUUCCAAACUAAACAUGAAACUUCUCCGGUAACAAUAAUAUAGACCCCAUACAGAAACAACAAACAAACAAAACAACAACCCCC